rnacentral:rRNA from 1 species
GUGCCAGCAGCCGCGGUAAAACGUAGGACGCAAGCGUUAUCCGGAGUUACUGGGCGUAAAGCGCGGGCAGGCGGUUCUGCCAGUCUGAUGUGAAAUCUCUCAGCUCAACUGGGAGCAGCCAUUGGAAACUACAGAACUGGAGUCUGGCAGAGGUAGGCGGAAUUCCGGGUGGAGUGGUGAAAUGCGUAGAGAUCCGGAGGAACACCAGAGGCGAAGGCGGCCUACUGGGCCAGUACUGACGCUGAGCCGCGAAAGCCAGGGGAGCGAACGGGAUUAGAAACCCCCGUAGUCC